ACCCUAUGUUCCAAUACCUCCUCCUAAAACACCUUCACCUAUUUCCAGUCCUCCCUAUGUUCAUCCAAAACCACCUUCACCUAUUCAUUAUCCACCUAAUGUUCCAACACCUCCAAAAACUCCUUCCCCUGUAUACACUCCUCCCAAUGUUCCCACUCAAGCACCUUCACCUGCUAAUCAUCCUCCAUAUAUUCCAACUCCUCCACAAACUCCUUCCCCAGUUUAUACUCCUCCUAAUUUUCCAACGCCUCCAAAAAUACCCUCUCCUGUGUACACUCCCCCAAAAGCUCCUUCCCCUAGUAACAAUCCACCCUAUGUUCCUACACCUCCAAAAACACCUUCUCCUUCUUAUAAUCCUCCUAAUGUUCCCACUCCUCCCAAAACACCUUCACCUAUUUACACUCCACCAAAUGUUCCUACUCCUCCAAAAACACCAUCUCCUGCUUAUAGUCCUCCAAAUGCUCCUUCCCCUCAUAACCAACCAAAUGUUCCUACUCCUCCAAAAACACCAUCUCCUGCUUAUAGUCCUCCAAAUGCUCCUUCCCCUCAUAACCAACCUCCCUAUGUUCCUACACCUCCAAAAACACCUUCUCCUUCUUAUAAUCCUCCUAAUGUUCCCACUCCUCCCAAAACACCUUCACCUAUUUACACUCCACCAAAUGUUCCUACUCCUCCAAAAACACCAUCUCCUGCUUAUAGUCCUCCAAAUGCUCCUUCCCCUCAUAACCAACCUCCCUAUGUUCCUACACCUCCAAAAACACCUUCUCCUUCUUAUAAUCCUCCUAAUGUUNNN
rnacentral:lncRNA from 1 species